rnacentral:rRNA from 1 species
GACGUAGGGGGCAAGCGUUGUCCGGAAUCAUUGGGCGUAAAGCGCUCGUAGGUGGAUCGGUAAGUCUGCAAAGAAAGACCCGGGCUCAACUCGGGGAACGGUGUGGAUACUACCGAUCUUGAGGCAAUCAGAGGAUGAUGGAAUUCCCGGUGUAGCGGUGAAAUGCGUAGAUAUCGGGAAGAACACCUAUGGCGAAGGCAGCUCUCUGGGACGGUACUGACGCUGAGACGCGAAAGCGUGGGGAGCGAACAGG